GUCUUUUUGAGUUUAAUUUAAGGUCUGAUCUGCCCACUGAUAAUAUUUAAGGGCCGCAGUAUUCUGACUGUGCAAAGGUAGCAUAAUCAUUAGUCUUUUAAUUGAGGGCUUGUAUGAAUGAUUGGACGAGAUAUAAUCUGUCUCAUGAAAAUUUAAGUAGAAUUUUAUUUUUUAGUUAAAAAGCUAAAAUAAGUUUAAAAGACGAGAAGACCCUAUAGAUCUUUAUAAUUUAUUUAUUAAUUUUUUUAGGUUAUUUUUUAAUUUUAUAAAUUAAAUUAUUUUGUUGGGGUGACAGUGAAAUUUAAAAAACUUUCAUAAUUUUUAUUACAUUGAUUUAUGAAAAAUUGAUCCAUUUUUAGUGAUUAAAAAUUUAAGUUACCUUAGGGAUAACAGCGUAAUUAUUUUGGAGAGUUCUUAUCGAUAAAAUAGUUUGCGACCUCGAUGUUGGAUUAAGAUUAAUUCUGGGUGUAGCAGUUCAGGUUAUUAAGUCUGUUCGACUUUUAAUUUCUU
rnacentral:rRNA from 1 species